GCGGGGGGGCUGUUACUUUAAGAGGAAUUUGCUCCGCCCCAACCAGCCCGGGACACGGACCUUGACUUCAACUUCCCGCUACUCUGGUACUUUCAGUUUUGAAGCGCAGUGAAGGCCCAGGCGGGGAGGGGGCUCGGCCCCCUCAAUUCAGCUACAAAUGUAACAAAUGUAACUGGUGCUGCAGCCUCGGGAGGGGAGCUCCGGGCUCCGGAUCCCCAGCUGCACGGCUCGGUCUGAGAUCUCUGGACACACGGUGCUGAGGGCUGUUAUCACCAAUGGGCCUCACUGAAGGGAUUCUCCGGAGAAACUGGCACCUCCUGACUCUGAAUGUCAACCUGGCUGUGGGAAUGUCCCUGCAAAUUCAGAAAUUUCUCUGUUCAUCUGAACACAGACUGGGAGGCUGGCACAGAGCUGGGCUCCCUUUGUGACAGACCAAGCUAUGAUGACAGGGAAGGUUCCCUCGUUCACCCCCGGCUCCACAGUGAGCUCCGCUCUGCCCGGCUACGUCGCUCUCUGCCUCACUCUACAGGUUCACAGGCUGGAGUCAGCACAGUUCACAGUGGCUGGACCUGACCAUCCAGUCAUUGCCUCCCUAGGUGGGGAGGCCGUCCUGCCCUGCCACCUCUCCCCCAGGAUGAGCGCUGAGAGCAUGGAGCUGAGAUGGUUCCGAUCCCAGUUCUCUGCAGUCGUGCACCUGUACCGUGAUGGGCAGGAUCAGUACGGUGAGCAGAUGCUAGAAUAUCAAAGAAGAACUGAGCUCUUGAAAGACGACAUCACCAAUGGGAGUGUUUCCCUGAGAAUACGCGAUAUCCGACCCUCUGACGAUGGGCAGUACAAGUGUCGUUUUCAGUCCAGUAUCUCUUAUGAAGAAGCUUUUUUGGAACUGCAGGUGGCAGGUCAGUGACUUGUUCUGAUAC